UUGAAUUUAGUAUAAUUUUAGCCGUAGAAAAGCUGAAGUGGUGGCUAUCCUGGAAGGGGGAUGGUGCUUAUGAGUAAAUUUUAACUCAUACUUGCAUAUCCUAAUAGAAAGGAGAAGCCCUCGUGUCUGUAUCAGAUGCGUUGCAGCUAAUGUUAGAGUUCGACACAUUUGUCGUAACACUAAUUGCAUUAG
rnacentral:sRNA from 1 species